rnacentral:rRNA from 1 species
AGAGUUUGAUCAUGGCUCAGAUUGAACGCUGGCGGAACGCUUUACACAUGCAAGUCGAACGGUAACGCGGAGAGAAGCUUGCUUCUCUCCGGCGACGAGUGGCGAACGGGUGAGUAAUACAUCGGAACGUGUCCGCUCGUGGGGGACAACCAGCCGAAAGGUUGGCUAAUACCGCAUGAGUUCUACGGAAGAAAGAGGGGGACCCGCAAGGGCCUCUCGCGAGCGGAGCGGCCGAUGACUGAUUAGCCGGUUGGUGAGGUAACGGCUCACCAAAGCAACGAUCAGUAGCUGGUCUGAGAGGACGACCAGCCACACUGGGACUGAGACACGGCCCAGACUCCUACGGGAGGCAGCAGUGGGGAAUUUUGGACAAUGGGCGCAAGCCUGAUCCAGCUAUUCCGCGUGUGGGAUGAAGGCCCUCGGGUUGUAAACCACUUUUGUAGAGAACGAAAAGACACCUUCGAAUAAAGGGUGUUGCUGACGGUACUCUAAGAAUAAGCACCGGCUAACUACGUGCCAGCAGCCGCGGUAAUACGUAGGGUGCGAGCGUUAAUCGGAAUUACUGGGCGUAAGGGUGCGCAGGCGGUUGAGUAAGACAGAUGUGAAAUCCCCGAGCUUAACUCGGGAAUGGCAUAUGUGACUGCUCGACUAGAGUGUGUCAGAGGGAGGUGGAAUUCCACGUGUAGCAGUGAAAUGCGUAGAUAUGUGGAAGAACACCGAUGGCGAAGGCAGCCUCCUGGGACAUAACUGACGCUCAGGCACGAAAGCGUGGGGAGCAAACAGGAUUAGAUACCCUGGUAGUCCACGCCCUAAACGAUGUUAACUAGUUGUUGGGAAGUAAAAUUCUCAGUAACGCAGCCAACGCGAGAAGUUAACCGCCUGGGAAGUACGGUCGCAAGACUAAAACUCAAAGGAAUUGACGGGGACCCGCACAAGCGGUGGAUGAUGUGGAUUAAUUCGAUGCAACGCGAAAAACCUUACCUACCCUUGACAUGUCAGGAAACUCUUGUAAU